CCCUAUGGGGCGUGGCCAGCGUCGGCGUUCUUCCGGUAGCAUUUGGCCACGUAGAACAGGCCCGUCUCCCUGUGCUUUACCAGGAGGGUCUCGCAGCCCUCGCUGUGGGCAAAGCACUCGAAGGGCUCAUACUCCGUCAGGAAUUCUCCCGGAUACCGCUGAGCGUCGCACGACGCCCGGAGGCUCUCCGCGAGGGCGUCGUUCGCGGCUUCAUUCAUGGGAUUCUCCUUCGCCGAGCAGCGUAAGUCCCAGCCUCAUCAACAGUUCCUGGAUUUGCGGCACGGUUUUCCCGUCGUGCAGGCAGCGCAUGAUGGCCGCGUCCCGCAGCAGCUUGGGAUAGAGGAGGCUUUUCUCCGCCGUUUUCAUGAGCGCCUGGGCCUCCUCCACGUCCAGCCCCAGCCCGAAACAGAUUUGGAUCAGCUUGGCCCGGGAGAGC
rnacentral:rRNA from 1 species